UACGUAGGGUCCGAGCGUUGUCCGGAAUCAUUGGGCGUAAAGAGCUCGUAGGCGGCCUGUCGCGUCUGCUGUGAAAUCCCGGGGCUUAACCCCGGGCGUGCAGUGGAUACGGGCUGGCUGGAGGCAGGCAGGGGAGAACGGAAUUCCCGGUGUAGCGGUGAAAUGCGCAGAUAUCGGGAGGAACACCGGUGGCGAAGGCGGUUCUCUGGGACGGUAUUGACGCUGAGACGCGAAAGCGUGGGGAGCAAACAGG
rnacentral:rRNA from 1 species